UACGUAGGGGGCAAGCGUUGUCCGGAAUCAUUGGGCGUAAAGAGCGUGUAGGCGGCCCGAUAAGUCCGCUGUGAAAGUCCAGGGCUCAACCCUGGAAUGCCGGUGGAUACUGUCGGGCUCGAAUCCGGAAGAGGUGAGUGGAAUUCCUGGUGUAGCGGUGAAAUGCGCAGAUAUCAGGAGGAACACCAAUGGCGAAGGCAGCUCACUGGGACGGUAUUGACGCUGAGACGCGAAAGCGUGGGGAGCAAACCGG
rnacentral:rRNA from 1 species